rnacentral:rRNA from 1 species
ACGGAGGGUGCGAGCGUUAAUCGGAAUUACUGGGCGUAAAGGGUGCGCAGGUUGUUUGAUAAGUUAUCUGUAAAAUCCCCGGGCUUAACCUGGGCAGUUCGUAUAAGACUAUUGGGCUUGAGUACAGGAGAGGGGAGUGGAAUUUCCGGUGUAGCGGUGAAAUGCGUAGAGAUCGGAAGGAACACCAGUGGCGAAGGCAGCUGCCUGGGCUGAUACUGACACUGAGGCACGAAAGCGUGGGGAGCAAACAG